GCAUGUUGCUAUACUACGAUUAUUAUCUAUGCCGACCUUCAUGCACUCGAGUUGCAAAGUGCAAUCUAAACUGGGACGGUUUUUUGGGAUUAGCCGCCUCUCGCGAGGUAGCAGCCCACUGUAACCGCCCUUUUAGCAGGUGUGUAGCCCGGGGUGUAAGGGCCAUGAGGACUUGACGUCAUCCCCACCUUCCUCCCGCUUGUCGCCUGCGGUCCCUCUAGAGUGCCCAACUGAAUGAUGGCAACGAAAGGCGAGGGUUGCGCUCGUUGCGGGACUUAACCCAACAUCUCACGACACGAGCUGACGAAAGCCAUGCAGAACCUGUUCUUUGCGCCCCAGGAGGGGAAACCGGCUUUCACAGGCGAGCAAAGGAUUUCACACAUAG
rnacentral:rRNA from 1 species